UUUCCUCCGCCUGUCAUUGUGUAAAACCAUUGUGUGUGCGGGCUCUCUACGUUCUCACAUCCGAGACGAGGUUUAUUCCAACAUCAUCAGAGGGAUAGUGACUCAGAAAGCUCUCACCACACUGCACUCCAACAUGAACAAUCUGAUCGCCACCGUUCCGCUCCUCAACUUUCUGCUGUCUCAGUUUAAUCCUGGACUCGUUCAGUGCUUUGCUGUUGCAGCAGGUGGAAAAGGAUUUAGGCAGGAGUUUUACUGUGAGGCUCCAGACUGCGCUGCUCAUGUCACUGUGGUGUUCUGCAACG